GUUUGAGUAGGAAAAUCCGCUCAGGCGUAAUGACGUGAGGCGUAAUGAGGAGGCUCUACGGAGCCGAAGGUGUUGACUCCACACUGCCAAGAAAAACUUCGCAAUCAAGAUUAUCCGGUAUCCGUACCGCAAACCGCCACAGGUAGGUUGGUAGAAAAUACUAAGGUGCGCGAGACAACUCUCGCUAAGGAACUCGGCAAAAUCACCUCGUAACUUCGGGAGAAGAGGUACCCUGGUAGCGUGAAGCGAUUUACUCGUGAAGCGUGAUAGGGUCGCAGUGAAUAGGCCCAAGCGACUGUUUACCAAAAACACAGGUCUCUGCUAAGUCGAACAAGACGAUGUAUAGGGGCUGACGCCUGCCCGGUGUCGGAAGGUUACGCGGAAGGGUUAGAGGUAACUCGAAGCUCUGAAGCUAAGCCCCGAUGAACGGCGGCCGUAACUAUAACGGUCCUAAGGUAGCGAAAUUCCUUGUCAGGUAAGUUCUGACCCGCACGAAUGGCGUAACGAUUUGGGCGCUGUCUCGGCGAGAGGCUCGGCGAAAUUGUAGUAUCCGUGAAGAUACGGAUUACGUAUACCAGGACAGAAAGACCCUAUUGAGCUUUACUGUAGCUUGAAAUUGAAUUCGGGUUCUUAUUGUGCAGUAUAGGUGGGAGACUAUGAAGCAAGGACGUCAGUUCUUGUGGAGUCAUCGUUGAGAUACCACUCUGUAAUAAUUUGAAUUCUAACACUGAUCCCUCCAAAAACAGGGCAGUGGACAGUUUCUGGUAGGCAGUUUGACUGGGGCGGUCGCCUCCUAAAAAGUAACGGAGGCGUUCAAAGGUUCCCUCAGGUUGGUCGGAAAUCAACCGUUGAGUGCAAUAGCAAAAGGGAGCUUGACUGCGAGACACACAAGUCGAGCAGGUGCGAAAGCAGGAUAUAGUGAUCCGGUGGUUCUGCAUGGAAGGGCCAUCGCUCAUCGGAUAAAAGUUACCAUAGGGAUAACAGGCUUAUCUCCCCCAAGAGUCCAC
rnacentral:rRNA from 1 species